GGGCCGUUAGCUCAAUUGGCAGAGCAGCGGACUUUUAAUCCGCGGGUUGUGGGUUCGAUCCCCACACGGCCCACC
rnacentral:tRNA from 1 species